AUUGAACGCUGGCGGCAGGCCUAACACAUGCAAGUCGAGCGAGAAAGGUUCUUCGGGACUGAGUACAGCGGCGGACGGGUGAGUAACGCGUAGGAAUCUACCCGGUAGUGGGGGACAACUCGGGGGAAACUCGAGCUAAUACCGCAUACGCCCUGAGGGGGAAAGCGGGGGAUCUUCGGACCUCGCGCUAUCGGAUGAGCCUGCGUCGGAUUAGCUAGUUGGUGGGGUAAAGGCUCACCAAGGCGACGAUCCGUAGCUGGUCUGAGAGGACGAUCAGCCACACUGGGACUGAGACACGGCCCAGACUCCUACGGGAGGCAGCAGUGGGGAAUAUUGCGCAAUGGGGGAAACCCUGACGCAGCCAUGCCGCGUGUGUGAAGAAGGCUCUAGGGUUGUAAAGCACUUUCACUUGGGAGGAAACGCCCAUCGUUAAUAGCGGUGGGACUUGACGUUACCUUGAGAAGAAGCACCGGCUAACUCCGUG
rnacentral:rRNA from 1 species